GCAUCUGGGAUAGCUCAGUCAGUAGAGCAUGAGACUCUUAACCUCAGGGUCAUGCGUUCAAUUCCCACGUUGGGCA